rnacentral:rRNA from 1 species
AGAGUUUGAUCCUGGCUCAGGACGAACGCUGGCGGCGUGCAUAACACAUGCAAGUCACGGGGGGUAGCAAUACCAACCGGCGAACGGGUGCGUAACACGUAAGCGACCUGCCACAGUGUGGGGCAUAGCCGCCUAACGGCCGGGUAAUUCCGCAUACGAUCGCGAAGGGGCAUCUCUUUGCGAUGAAACCAGUAAUGGGC